AUUGAACGCUGGCGGCAGGCCUAACACAUGCAAGUCGAACGAGUGGCGGACGGGUGAGUAAUGUCUGGGAAACUGCCCGAUGGAGGGGGAUAACUACUGGAAACGGUAGCUAAUACCGCAUACCAUCGGAUGUGCCCAGAUGGGAUUAGCUAGUAGGUGGGGUAACGGCUCACCAAGGCGACGAUCCCUAGCUGGUCUGAGAGGAUGACCAGCCACACUGGUACCGGGACACGGUCCAGCUCCCUAAGAGAGGCAGCAGGGGGAAACAUUGCACAACGGGCAGUAGCCUGAUGCAGCCAUGCCGCGUGUAUGAAGAAGGCCAUCGGGUUGUAAAGUACUUUCAGCGGGGAGGCGUUACUCGCAGAAGAAGCACCGGCUAACUCCGUGCCAGCCGCCGCGGUAAUUC
rnacentral:rRNA from 1 species